rnacentral:rRNA from 1 species
UAAUACGUAGGGUGCGAGCGUUGUCCGGAAUUAUUGGGCGUAAAGAGCUCGUAGGCGGUUUGUCGCGUCGGCCGUGAAAACUUGGGGCUUAACCCCAAGCCUGCGGUCGAUACGGGCAGACUUGAGUUCGGCAGGGGAGACUGGAAUUCCUGGUGUAGCGGUGAAAUGCGCAGAUAUCAGGAGGAACACCGGUGGCGAAGGCGGGUCUCUGGGCCGAUACUGACGCUGAGGAGCGAAAGCGUGGGGAGCGAACAGGAUUAGAUACCCUGGUAGUCCACGCCGUAAACGGUGGGUGCUAGGUGUGGGGGACUUCCACGUCCUCUGUGCCGCAGCUAACGCAUUAAGCACCCCGCCUGGGGAGUACGGCCGCAAGGCUA